GACGAACGCUGGCGGCGUGCCUAAUACAUGCAAGUCGAGCGAACAGACGAGGAGCUUGCUCCUCUGACGUUAGCGGCGGACGGGUGAGUAACACGUGGAUCACCUACCUAUAAGACUGGGAUCACCUCGGGAAACCGGCGCUAAUACCGGAUAAUAUAUUGAACCGCAUGGUUCAAUAGUGAAAGACGGUUUUGCUGUCACUUAUAGAUGGAUCCGCGCCGCAUUAGCUAGUUGGUAAGGUAACGGCUUACCAAGGCAACGAUGCGUAACCGACCUGUGAGGGUGAUCGGCCACACUGGAACUGAGACACGGUCCAGACUCCUACGAGAGGCAGCAGUAGGGAAUCUUCCGCAAUGGGCGAAAGCCUGACGGAGCAACGCCGCGUGAGUGAUGAAGGUCUUCGGAUCGUAAAACUCUGUUAUUAGGGAAGAACAAAUGUGUAAGUAACUAUGCACGUCUUGACGGUACCUAGUCAGAAAGCCACGGCUAACUACGUG
rnacentral:rRNA from 1 species